UACGUAGGGGGCUAGCGUUGUUCGGAAUUACUGGGCGUAAAGCGCACGUAGGCGGCUUUGUAAGUUAGAGGUGAAAGCCCGGGGCUCAACUCCGGAAUUGCCUUUAAGACUGCAUCGCUAGAAUUGUGGAGAGGUAAGUGGAAUUCCGAGUGUAGAGGUGAAAUUCGUAGAUAUUCGGAAGAACACCAGUGGCGAAGGCGGCGACCUGGGUCGACACUGACGCUGAGGCGCGAAAGCGUGGGGAGCAAACAGG
rnacentral:rRNA from 1 species